UACGUAGGGUGCCAGCGUUGUCCGGAAUUAUUGGGCGUAAAGAGCUUGUAGGCGGUUUGUCGCGUCUGCUGUGAAAUUUCGGGGCUCAACCCCGAACUUGCAGUGGGUACGGGCAGACUAGAGUGUGGUAGGGGAGACUGGAAUUCCUGGUGUAGCGGUGAAAUGCGCAGAUAUCAGGAGGAACACCGAUGGCGAAGGCAGGUCUCUGGGCCACUACUGACGCUGAGAAGCGAAAGCAUGGGGAGCGAACAGG
rnacentral:rRNA from 1 species